rnacentral:rRNA from 1 species
AACGGCCGUACCAUGCUGAAUAUACCGGUUCUCGUUAGAUCACCGAAGUCAAGCAUCAUUGGGCGCGGUCAGUACUUGGGUGGGUGACCGCCUGGGAACACCGCGUGCCGUU